AUGCUCAUGUUGGAACAAACAGUGCUAGGCACUAAGGCAAACAAACUAAAGCAGCAGCGUACAGACUCAAGACAGACGACACAUGACAAACUACAAUCUUUGAAGCAUGACAGACCCCGGCCAACCAGCAAAACAGGGUACAGAGAAGCGACCGACACAGCUACGGGCAACCCUUCCCAGAGACUCAUAAGAAAGACGCCGGACCUAACCAUUGAAAGAGCUGAAGACACAUGCAGGGGAGCCAGGAGCAUCACCAGCGGAUGCAGAGGCGUCGCCCGACGAAACAGACACGACGUGAGAGGCGGCUUGAUCCAGGAUGGCACUGGCGUUGAGGUCGCAACACUGGGCAAUCUUCCUCAGCUUGCCCCUGGUCAGCGGCGAUGGGGUGCUCAGCAGUGGCAGCUCGAGAAGGCCGGCCACGGCCGCGGUCUUGGACUUCUUCUUGCGGCGGCGGGAGAGAGCAGCAGAACAGCGCGACGGCUCCAAACUAGUCAGAGCCAGCAGCAACCGCCUUCCGCUUGGCCGCCCGCUCGAUGGAACCCACGCGCAUACCAUCAUAGGUGCGGCUGA
rnacentral:rRNA from 1 species